rnacentral:rRNA from 1 species
GACGAACGCUGGCGGCGUGCUUAACACAUGCAAGUCGAACGGGUCUGCCCUGUUUUUUGCGGGGUGGGUCAGUGGCGAACGGGUGAGUAACACGUGAGUAACCUGCCCCUCACUUCUGGAUAACCGCUUGAAAGGGUGGCUAAUACGGGGUGUUCUGGCUGUGCCGCAUGGUGUGGCUGGGAAAGAUUCACUUUUGUGGUGUUUUGGUGGGGGAUGGGCUCGCGGCCUAUCAGCUUGUUGGUGGGGUGAUGGCCUGCCAAGGCUUUGACGGGUAGCCGGCCUGAGAGGGUGGGCGGUCACACUGGGACUGAGAUGCGGCCCAGACUCCUGCGGGAGGCAGCAGUGGGGGGUAUUGCACAAUGGGCGGAAGCCUGAUGCAGCGACGUCGCGUGAGGGAUGGAGGCCUUCGGGUUGUGAACCUCUUUCGCCGGUGAAGAAGGUCCUGCUCUUUGUGGUGGGGUUGACGGUAGCCGGGUUAUGAAGCGCCGGCUAACUACGU